CAUCCAGCUCCGAGAAGAGCUUCUCCUCCUCCUCCUCCGCUACGAGUGUAAACAACACGCACAAGGUCAGCGUCAGCACACAUGGUGGGCAGCUUGGUCAUUGGACGUUUGCUCACUAGCGCCCCUGCUUGAUGAUGUUUGACGGUGUAAAUCUUUACCCAGUUGCUGUGACUCAUUUUUCCACUGAAACAAGGCAGUUCUUCGGAGCUGGUGAGGCCUGCCAGCUGUGUCCUGAGGGGUUAGAGAGCACAAACAGCCACUGAGAGGAAGAUCCAUGGAAGGAAGCCCCGGGGUUCGGUUCAGGGAGAUGGCCUGGUGCUCCCCUGAUUCCUCACCUUCUGUUCCUCAACCUCAACAUUCCAUGCCCUUCUGCCCUCCACCCUUUCCUACAGUCACAUUCUAAUCUUGUAGCAUCCUCAAAUAUGUUAUAUUUGUUCACUAAAUGACGACAGAGAAAGGGAAGGCCACUGACCCUGGGCCAGGAAACUGUCAAACAUGUUUAUGAUCAUUGCUGACAUCCAUUUUAGAAUCCUUAGAUAAACAUGGUACAUUCACUGGUUGACGCCCGGGCAGCUCAAGUGUAAGUUAUGCGAAAUGGGUCAUGAGACAUUAGAGUGGUAUUGAUUGGACAUAACGCCUGACAAGACGUAUUUUCCCGUGAUGAAAUCAGAAAGUAAAACAUUAUCGUUGUGAGUGCGAAACAUGAAGCAAAGUGUCGAGGCAGGGUUGCGGCCUUAGGGUACCGCUAGCUUUGUUGUUGACCAUUUUCACAGUAUUCAUUUUUACAUCGUUAACAGUACUGUAUACAGCAGGCAUGAUAUGGUUCAUCGGGAUUAUGGGGGAAAAAAAGUAUUUCUACAGAAUCACGAAAGAACACAUUUGAAUAUGGUGAGGAUUAAGGAUCAAAGGUGAACAGUCGUGAUAGCACCACUCGUUUUUUUAUCAUCCGCAGGAACCAGGGCGCACCUUCGCGCCUGCUCUAGGGGGAGUUUGGUGUUGUCAUCAGCGGUGGCAGUCGACGGCCUUGUGCUGCACGGCUUGUCAAGAACUUGCCGGGAAUAGCCUAAAUUGCACUCUGCGUUGAAGCGGUGGGACGGCAACAAAAACGAAAAGUUUCAUGCCACGCAGCAGUUUUGCAACACUCUUCCAAAUGUCGGCGAUCCGCGGGCCAGGGAAUAAUACGCUCACAAAAAGCUACAAAGGCUGAGCUGUCCAACGCUAAUGGCCUCACGUCUGACCGAAUGACAACUGAAAGAAAAAUUUGUAAAAGUGUACAGCGGCUUUCCGGACACCCUGUAGCGAAG